GGUGGUUCAGUGGUAGAGUGCUUGCCUUGCAUGCAUGAGGCCCUGGGUUCAAUUCCUCAGCACCU
rnacentral:tRNA from 1 species